rnacentral:rRNA from 1 species
UACGUAGGUGGCAAGCGUUGUCCGGAUUUACUGGGCGUAAAGGGAGUGCAGGCGGUUUGUUAAGUCUAGGGUGAAAGCUCCCGGCUCAACUGGGAGAGGUCCUUGGAUACUGGCGAACUUGAGGGAUGCAGAGGAAAGUGGAAUUCCCGGUGUAGUGGUGAUAUGCGUAGAUAUCGGGAGGAACACCAGUGGCGAAGGCGGCUUUCUGGGCAUUUCCUGACGCUGAGACGCGAAAGCGUGGGGAGCGAACCGG